rnacentral:tRNA from 1 species
GCCCGUGUGGUGAAAUCGGUAAACACGCCGGAUCUGGAGUCCGGUAGCUAGCGGCUAUGUGGGUUCAAAUCCCACCACGGGCA